rnacentral:snRNA from 1 species
AGCUUUGCACAGUGGCAGUAUCAUAGCCAAUGAGGUCUAUGCAAGGUGCGACUAUUGCUAAUUGAAGUAGUCUCACUGUAGCCCAGGCUGACCUGGAAUUUACUAUCUAUUCUCAGG